rnacentral:rRNA from 1 species
CAAUAGCGUAUAUUUAAGUUGUUGCAGUUAAAAAGCUCGUAGUUGGAUUUCGGAUGGGAUUUGCCGGUCCGUCGUUACGAUGUGCACUGGCCAGUCCUAUCUUGUUGUCGGGGACUAGCUCCUUGGAUUCACUUCCUGGGACUAGGAGCUGACGAGGUUACUUUGAGUAAAUUAGAGUGUUCAAAGCAAGCCUACGCUCUGAAUACAUUAGCAUGGAAUAACACGAUAGGACUCUGGCUUAUCUUGUUGGUCUGUGAGACCAGAGUAAUGAUUAAGAGGGACAGUCGGGGACAUUCGUAUUUCAUUGUCAGAGGUGAAAUUCUUGGAUUUAUGAAAGACGAACUUCUGCGAAAGCAUUUGUCAAGGAUGUUUUCAUUNA